GGAGACGGCCAGGGGGCCGCGGGGGAAACCCUGAGGAAGGUCCGGACUCCACCGGGCAGGCUGCUCGGGGCAACCCGAGAGGGGGCGACCCCUGGAAAGUGCCACAGAGAACAGACCGCCAACGGCUUCCGCCUCGCGGGGGCGCGGGCAAGGGUGAAACGGUGGGGCAAGAGCCCACCGCCGGGGCCGCGAGGAUCCCGGGCACGGUAAACCCCAGCCGGAGCAAGGCCGAAUAGGGAGGCGGUUGAGGACGGCCCGUCCGAUGCCUCCGGGUAGGCCGCCGAGAUGAAUGGCCCCCCACGACAGAAUCCGGCCUAUGGCCCUCUCCCACG
rnacentral:RNase_P_RNA from 1 species